rnacentral:tRNA from 1 species
UUAAUUGAAAAAAAUUUACUGUUAAUAAAUAAAAGAAUAAAUAUUCCAAUUAAA